rnacentral:lncRNA from 1 species
GGAGGUAUGCUACCGACACGGCUGCGUGGACGCGGGCACGAAGAAAGGAGCGCCGACUGACCAACGAUACUUUGACUGCGCAUGUGUGCCACUCAAGUGCAACAGUUCACGAGGCAUCCCAGGCCCCGAAAGAAGUUGGAAGAAGAUGCAAGCGCAGCAUGCCAAUGUUGAAUAUGCCAGCACGAAGUUUCCAGGCGCAAGUGUUUCUUAUAUAAAAGAAAGCCUAUUCUCUCCCCUCACAAGGGAAAUAAAAUCACUAUAUAAAAAUG